rnacentral:rRNA from 1 species
GAUGAACGCUGGCGGCGUGCCUAAUACAUGCAAGUCGAGCGAACAGACGAGGAGCUUGCUCCUCUGACGUUAGCGGCGGACGGGUGAGUAACACGUGGAUAACCUACCUAUAAGACUGGGAUAACUUCGGGAAACCGGAGCUAAUACCGGAUAAUAUAUUGAACCGCAUGGUUCAAUAGUGAAAGACGGUUUUGCUGUCACUUAUAGAUGGAUCCGCGCCGCAUUAGCUAGUUGGUAAGGUAACGGCUUACCAAGGCGACGAUGCGUAGCCGACCUGAGAGGGUGAUCGGCCACACUGGAACUGAGACACGGUCCAGACUCCUACGGGAGGCAGCAGUAGGGAAUCUUCCGCAAUGGGCGAAAGCCUGACGGAGCAACGCCGCGUGAGUGAUGAAGGUCUUCGGAUCGUAAAACUCUGUUAUUAGGGAAGAACAAAUGUGGAAGUAACUAUGCACGUCUUGACGGUACCUAAUCAGAAAGCAACGGCUAACUACGUG